rnacentral:lncRNA from 1 species
GGGGCACUCGGAGGGUUGAGAUAACGACAGAUCUGACCAGAGCAUGCUAAAAGGAAUUUUGUAUCUGUAUUUAUUGUAUUAGUUGCUGGGCACAAUGUUGCUUCGAUUGUUUUCAUGGCUGUGUUAUGUGAACUCUUACAUGCUCUAUGUACUCCCCGUUAUGAUGUUUAUCACUUCUGGGAGAGGGAUCAGGAUUAUAAUUUUGCUGUCCUGUGUGAUAUCAACUUAUGAUAUGAUAGCAUCACUGUUCAGAUGGUUUUGUUGGGGAGUUUAUUCAGCACUGCUUUCCUUCCCAUGUCUCAGGGAAUUUAUUAAUAAACACACUGAGUCUAUGAGGGAAGCAGGGGGGGAUAUUUUCCCCAGCUCUUUCACCUCCUUUUUCUCUUUCAUGCUGGCUAUGCCAGUUUUUGAGAAUUUUGAAUACCCUUGGGACAUGCAAACCAGUUUGGUCCUGUUGCUAGGUCUCCUGAAUGUGUUUCAGUUUCUGUUUAGGGUUAAGCAACUAUUUAAGACUACCACCAAGAGAUCUGCCCCGAGGCUGGAGAGUCAUGGGUGGCAUGGCAUGUGGGAGAACAUGGGCAGGUAUCUAGAGAGUUUUUCACCUCCAAUGGUCUGGGAUUUCACCACUGAACAAUUACAGGACCCUGAUAAAGUGAUAGAAUAUUUAAAAGGAAAAUGUUGUGGCUAUUCCAGAGAGGCACAACUCACUGCAUUGUGCUGGGCCUUGGCCAGUAUCUACCAAGCAUUGCUCAAUGUUGUGCAGCAUCCUCAGGGGGAAGAGAUGGAAACCAGGCUGACAGAUGCUGCGGCUGCUCUAACCCCUGCAACCAAUGCUGUGGCUGCUCCAACCCCUGCAGCCAACGCUGCGGCUGCUCCAACCCCUGUGACAGACACUGUGGCUGCCCCAACCCCUGCGGUAGACACUGCGGCUGCUCCAACUCCUGCAGCAGGUGCUGUGGCUACCCCAACCCCAGUGACAGGCACUGCAACUGAACCAGAAAACCAACCUGUGCCCAU